CACUCGCCUUCUUGUUUGUGGUUUGGUAAACCUCUUCUGCCGUUUCCGUUUGGUCUGGCGAAGGGCCUCCGCAUCGAUCGAUCGAUCGGGCUCGCAGUCUCCUCCUCUCCUAAAUCUUUCUCGUAUCGCACCUAGUCGUCCUCGUCGGCGAUUUCUUGUCGAUCUCGAAUUCCAUGGAUUUGGUUGAAGCAUGGCGAUUGGUCGACUGGGGGCAAGAGGGGUACCCGACGUACGAGGACUUCGUGGCGCUGCCCUUCUUCGCGCUGUUCUUCCCCACGGUCAGAUUCUUCCUCGAUAGGUUCGUGUUUGAGAAAUUAGCAAAGCGACUUAUACCACAAAAAUCAAGUGAAAAGCUCAGCACCGGAAUAGAUAGCAGGAGAAAAAAGAUCAAUAAAUUUAAGGAGUCAGCUUGGAAGUUUGUUUAUUUUCUUUCAGGCGAACUUCUGGCUCUAUCUGUUACAUAUAACGAGCCCUGGCUCACCAAUACUAGAUACUUCUGGGUAGGGCCAGGGAAUCAGGUCUGGCCAGAUCAGAAGAUUAAAUUAAAACUUAAAUUUGUCUAUAUGUAUGUUGCUGGCUUCUACACAUAUUCAAUUUUUGCACUUUUGUUCUGGGAAACAAGAAGAUCAGAUUUUGGAGUAUCAAUGUCUCAUCACAUGGCAACUGUUGUUCUCAUUGUGCUGUCUUACAUAUUCAGGUUUGCUCGUGUUGGUUCAGUUGUUUUAGCCAUUCAUGAUGCAAGUGACGUAUUCUUGGAAAUGGGGAAAAUGUCUAAGUAUGGCGGUUGUGAGCUGCUUGCUAAUGCAACAUUUCUUUUAUUUGUUGCUUCAUGGAUAAUUCUUCGUCUUAUAUAUUAUCCCUUGUGGAUCCUUCGAAGUACAAGUUACGAGGUUCUCUUGACUUUGGACAAAGAAAAACAUAAGUUUGAAGGACCCAUAUAUUAUUAUGUCUUCAACACACUUCUAUUCUCACUGCUUGUUCUUCAUAUCUACUGGUGGAUAUUAAUGUUCCGGAUGCUUGUGAAACAAAUCCAAUCAGGACAAGUUGGUGAUGACGUUAGAUCAGAUUCUGAAGAUGAAGAGCAACAUGAAGAUUGAUUCGGGGUGUUCAAUAAUACAUGUUGUUGCGUAGCCCAAAAAGUAAAUAUUUCAUGUUCAUGAUGUCUAUGUGCUGAUUUGCUUAUGUUGCUUUUCUUACUAGAUGAAACAGCGCAGAUAGUAAACAAGAAAACAUUGACUUGUUUUAUAUUUCCAGGUUAACUUCAGACUAAGCUUCAGUUUUCAGAACCAGUAAUCUUCUUGUGUAUUUAUCUUAUUUGUAACUUCUCAUUGGAGACUACUCAAUAAUGGAACAACUCUCCUAUAUUUAUUCAAGAAACAAAUAGGAAGCAGGAUCAGACACUGCUGAUAUGCUAGAUGUUAGAUUCACUGAAAAAGAAGGAUAUAUAUGUUGAUCAGCUUCAUCAGCUUGACAAAAAUCUCCCUACAGAGAGGUUAGAUUUCAUGCAUUUGUAGAGGCUUCAUUGCCUGCAAAAUUUAUGGUCUGGUUGCUGAAGAAGAUUGCUGUGGAUUUCAAAGAAAAGGAAAGAGAGAGAGAAAAUAGAUGCAAGAUUCUUUUCUUCCUGGAAGAAAUAUUAGUAAUGCUGCCAAUGUUCAAGUGGCUUAUGGAGGAUUAAGUGUCAAUGAAUUAUAAGGCUAUUUUAGCAGUAUUUUACUGUGAGGUGUUUAAUCCUUUGACAUAUUAUGAUUGAACAUGAUUAAUUAUUAAUCAGAUAACUGCAUUUAGAUUAUCUGA